AGUGCUCACUUCAGCAAUACCUACUAAAGCUGGAAUGAUACAGAGACGAUUAGCAUGGCCCUUACCCAAGGAUGACAUGCAAAUUCAUGGAGUGUUCCAUGUUUUU
ensembl:snRNA U6 U6 spliceosomal RNA